rnacentral:rRNA from 1 species
CACGAAGUUAGCCGGUGCUUAUUCUUUGGGUACCGUCAUCCCAACCAGGUAUUAGCCGGCUGGAUUUCUUUCCCAACAAAAGGGCUUUACAACCCGAAGGCCUUCUUCACCCACGCGGUAUGGCUGGAUCAGGCUUGCGCCCAUUGUCCAAUAUUCCCCACUGCUGCCUCCCGUAGGAGUCUGGACCGUGUCUCAGUUCCAGUGUGGCUGAUCAUCCUCUCAGACCAGCUACGGAUCGUCGCCUUGGUGGGCCUUUACCCCGCCAACUAGCUAAUCCGACAUCGGCUCAUUCAAUCGCGCAAGGUCCGAAGAUCCCCUGCUUUCACCCGUAGGUCGUAUGCGGUAUUAGCGUAAGUUUCCCUACGUUAUCCCCCACGACAGAGUAGAUUCCGAUGUAUUCCUCACCCGUCCGCCACUCGCCACCCAGAGAGCAAGCUCUCCUGUGCUGCCGUUCGACUUGCAUGUGUUAGGCCUACCGCCAGCGUUCACUCUGAGCCAGGAUCAAACU